AACGCACAUUGCGCCCUUUGGCAUUCCGAGGGGCAUGCCUGUUCGAGCGUCAUUAACAACCAUCAAGCCUGGCUUGCCGUUGAGCCCCGCCCGUGACAGGGCGGGCUCGAAAGACAGCCACGGCGUCGGUCGGACCCUAGAUGCAACGAGCUCCGAGUAGCACGCAUCGACCUGGCCGGCCGCGCCCGUCCCACCCCUUUUUAUCUCAGGAUGACCUCGGAUCAGGUAGGAAUACCCGCUGAACUUAA
rnacentral:misc_RNA from 1 species